rnacentral:rRNA from 1 species
GACGAACGCUGGCGGCGUGCUUAACACAUGCAAGUCGAGCGGAAAGGCCUGCUUUCCCUUGUGGAUUGCGGGUACUCGAGUGGCGAACGGGUGAGUAACACGUGAGUGAUCUGCCCCCAACUUGGGUAUAAGCCUGGGAAACUGGGUCUAAUUCCCGAUAGGACUGCAGGGUGGUGCCUGUGGUGGAAAACGAUUUUCUAGUGGUUGGGGAUGAGCUCGCGGCCUACCAGCUUGUUGGUGGGGUAAUGGCCUACCAAGGCGGCGACGGGUAGCCGGCCUGAGAGGGUGGACGGCCACAUUGGGACUGAGAUACGGCCCAGACUCCUACGGGAGGCAGCAGUGGGGAAUAUUGCACAAUGGGCGGAAGCCUGAUGCAGCGACGCCGCGUGGGGGAUGACGGCCUUCGGGUUGUAAACUCCUUUCGACCGCGAGGAAGCCACCUGGUUGGAAGGGUGGUGACGGUAGUGGUAGAAGAAGCACCGGCUAACUACGUG